CUAACAAGGAUUCCCUUAGUAACUGCGAGUGAAGAGGGAAAAGCUCAAAUUUAAAAUCUGGCAGCAUUUUGCUGUCCGAGUUGUAACCUAGAGAAGUGUAACCUGUGCUGGACCGUGUAUAAGUUUCCUGGAAUGGAGCAUCACAGAGGGUGAGAAUCCCGUCUUUGACAUGGACUACCAGUGCAUUGUGGUUGUGCUCUCAACGAGUCGAGUUGUUUGGGAAUGCAGCUCUAAAUGGGUGGUAAAUUCCAUCUAAAGCUAAAUAUUGGCGAGAGACCGAUAGCGAACAAGUACCGUGAGGGAAAGAUGAAAAGAACUUUGGAAAGAGAGUUAAACAGUAUGUGAAAUUGUUGAAAGGGAAACGUUUGAAGUCAGUCGCGUUAGCUGGGGAUCAGCCUGACAUUGUUGGGUGCACUUCCUGGUUGACGGGCCAACAUCAGUUUUGACUGCCAGAAAAAGGCCAAGGGAAUGUGGCACCUUUGGGUGUGUUAUAGCCUUUGGUCAUAUAUGGUGGUUGGGACUGAGGAACGCAGUGUGCCGAAAGGCCGGGUUUCGACCACGUUCACACUGAGGAUGUUGGCAUAAUGGCUUUAAGCGACCCGUCUUGAAACACGGACCAAGGAGUCUAACAUGCAUGCGAGUGUUUGGGUGGAAAACCCUUACGCGUAAUGAAAGUGAAAGUUGAGAUCCCUGUCGUGGGGAGCAUCGACGCCCGGACCAGAACUUUUGGGACGGAUCUGCGGUAGAGCACGUAUGUUGGGACCCGAAAGAUGGUGAACUAUGCCUGAAUAGGGUGAAGCCAGAGGAAACUCUGGUGGAGGCUCGUAGCGAUUCUGACGUGCAAAUCGAUCGUCAAAUUUGGGUAUAGGGGCGAAAGACUAAUCG
rnacentral:rRNA from 1 species